rnacentral:rRNA from 1 species
UACGGAGGGUGCAAGCGUUGUUCGGAAUCACUGGGCGUAAAGCGCGUGUAGGCGGCCUCCUCAGUCUGGUGUGAAAGCCCGGGGCUCAACCCCGGAAGUGCAUUGGAUACUGGGAGGCUGGAGUACCGGAGAGGAGGGUGGAAUUCCUGGUGUAGCGGUGAAAUGCGUAGAUAUCAGGAGGAACACCGGUGGCGAAGGCGGCCCUCUGGACGGAUACUGACGCUGAUACGCGAAAGCGUGGGGAGCAAACAGG